rnacentral:rRNA from 1 species
GACGAACGCUGGCGGCGUGCUUAACACAUGCAAGUCGAACGGAAAGGCCCUGCUUUUGUGGGGUGCUCGAGUGGCGAACGGGUGAGUAACACGUGAGUAACCUGCCCUUGACUUUGGGAUAACUUCAGGAAACUGGGGCUAAUACCGGAUAGGAGCUCCUGCUGCAUGGUGGGGGUUGGAAAGUUUCGGCGGUUGGGGAUGGACUCGCGGCUUAUCAGCUUGUUGGUGGGGUAGUGGCUUACCAAGGCUUUGACGGGUAGCCGGCCUGGGAGGGUGACCGGCCACAUUGGGAUUGAGAUACGGCCCAGACCACUACGGGAGGGGGCAGGGGGGAAUAUUGCACAGUGGGCGGAAGCAUAAUGCAGCAAAGCCGCGUGGGGGAUGACGGCAUUCGGGUAGUAAACCGAUUUCGCCUGUGACGAGGCGUGAGUGACGGUAAUGGGUAAAGAAGCACCGGCUAACUACGUG